rnacentral:rRNA from 1 species
UACGAGAGAUCGUAUCCUUCAGUUCGGCUGGAUCGGAGACAGGUGCUGCAUGGCUGUCGUCAGCUCGUGUCGUGAGAUGUUGGGUUAAGUCCCGCAACGAGCGCAACCCUCGCCCUUAGUUGCCAGCAUUCAGUUGGGCACUCUAAGGGGACUGCCGGUGAUAAGCCGAGAGGAAGGUGGGGAUGACGUCAAGUCCUCAUGGCCCUUACGGGCUGGGCUACACACGUGCUACAAUGGUGGUGACAGUGGGCAGCGAGACCGCGAGGUCGAGCUAAUCUCCAAAAGCCAUCUCAGUUCGGAUUGCACUCUGCAACUCGAGUGCAUGAAGUUGGAAUCGCUAGUAAUCGCAGAUCAGC